CCGAAAGCCAGCGGAUCCCAUUUCCGAUUGGAGUUCCUUGGGCCGUCGUCGCAAGCUCUAGCCGACCCCUCCUCAGCUUCUCGGCCGCCGCUCGUUCGCCACAGCGCCUCGCCGUCGCUCGCCGCCUCCGGCUUCUGGUCCGCAGAUGCCAUCCAGACCGUAGCUCCACCACCAAUGGUCCGCGAUCCCGUGCACCUGCUCCCUACGAAAUGGAAGCCUGCGUCUCCACGAGCCGCGUCCUCCUCCCUUUCCCUCUCCGUGGCCGGCGGCCGCCUGCUCACGGCGCCGAGCAGGGACUAGCCGACGAAGAGGGGUCCAGCUAAACCCGGCCCGGGCGUCGCUCGACAGCGCCACGGUGCUCCUCGACGCCCCGUCGGGGCGGGGACGGGGUACUCGCAGGCGAGCUGCUACACCUCGCUGGGGCUCUUCGUGCUGUCCGUGCCGGGGCUCUGGUCGCUCAUCAAGCGCUCCGUCAAGUCCAAGGAUCUGUUCUAAUUAAACGUGCAUACACAGACUUCCGAAAAUUUGUGGAGGGGGAGAUGUGAUUUAUCGGCGAUGAGUAAGCACUUUUCUUAUUGUUUCAAACCAUCAUUUAGACUGACACGCACAUGUUGCUUGCAGGAAUGCGUUUGUUCAUUUUUCUUUCUAAAAGGCAGAAGUUGUCAGCUGCUAUGUUCUUUCUAUCUGUGGCUUCCAUAGUUACCUGAUUCUUUCAAUCCGUGUAGGAUGUUUCAAAUCAUUGUUAGUCAUUCCAAUUUUAGCAUCUCAUAAUGUGAUGCAUAAUGACUUUCACCUAAUAUGAAUACGAUGAUUUGUUGUAAUAUACAGAUCAUUUUCCAGAUAUGA